rnacentral:rRNA from 1 species
GAUGAACGCUAGCUACAGGCUUAACACAUGCAAGUCGAGGGGCAGCAUGGUCUUAGCUUGCUAAGGCCGAUGGCGACCGGCGCACGGGUGAGUAACACGUAUCCAACCUGCCGUCUACUCUUGGACAGCCUUCUGAAAGGAAGAUUAAUACAAGAUGGCAUCAUGAGUCCGCAUGUUCACAUGAUUAAAGGUAUUCCGGUAGACGAUGGGGAUGCGUUCCAUUAGAUAGUAGGCGGGGUAACGGCCCACCUAGUCUUCGAUGGAUAGGGGUUCUGAGAGGAAGGUCCCCCACAUUGGAACUGAGACACGGUCCAAACUCCUACGGGAGGCAGCAGUGAGGAAUAUUGGUCAAUGGGCGAGAGCCUGAACCAGCCAAGUAGCGUGAAGGAUGACUGCCCUAUGGGUUGUAAACUUCUUUUAUAAAGGAAUAAAGUCGGGUAUGGAUACCCGUUUGCAUGUACUUUAUGAAUAAGGAUCGGCUAACUCCGUGCCAGCAGCCGCGGUAAUACGGAGGAUCCGAGCGUUAUCCGGAUUUAUUGGGUUUAAAGGGAGCGUAGAUGGAUGUUUAAGUCAGUUGUGAAAGUUUGCGGCUCAACCGUAAAAUUGCAGUUGAUACUGGAUAUCUUGAGUGCAGUUGAGGCAGGCGGAAUUCGUGGUGUAGCGGUGAAAUGCUUAGAUAUCACGAAGAACUCCGAUUGCGAAGGCAGCCUGCUAAGCUGCAACUGACAUUGAGGCUCGAAAGUGUGGGUAUCAAACAGGAUUAGAUACCCUGGUAGUCCACACGGUAAACGAUGAAUACUCGCUGUUUGCGAUAUACUGCAAGCGGCCAAGCGAAAGCGUUAAGUAUUCCACCUGGGGAGUACGCCGGCAACGGUGAAACUCAAAGGAAUUGACGGGGGCCCGCACAAGCGGAGGAACAUGUGGUUUAAUUCGAUGAUACGCGAGGAACCUUACCCGGGCUUAAAUUGCAGAUGAAUUACGGUGAAAGCCGUAAGCCGCAAGGCAUCUGUGAAGGUGCUGCAUGGUUGUCGUCAGCUCGUGCCGUGAGGUGUCGGCUUAAGUGCCAUAACGAGCGCAACCCUUGUUGUCAGUUACUAACAGGUUCCGCUGAGGACUCUGACAAGACUGCCAUCGUAAGAUGUGAGGAAGGUGGGGAUGACGUCAAAUCAGCACGGCCCUUACGUCCGGGGCUACACACGUGUUACAAUGGGGGGUACAGAGGGCCGCUACCACGCGAGUGGAUGCCAAUCCCCAAAACCUCUCUCAGUUCGGACUGGAGUCUGCAACCCGACUCCACGAAGCUGGAUUCGCUAGUAAUCGCGCAUCAGCCACGGCGCGGUGAAUACGUUCCCGGGCCUUGUACACACCGCCCGUCAAGCCAUGGGAGCCGGGGGUACCUGAAGUGCGUAACCGCGAGGAGCGCCCUAGGGUAAAACUGGUGACUG